rnacentral:rRNA from 1 species
UACAGAGGGUGCAAGCGUUGUUCGGAUUUACUGGGCGUAAAGCGCGUGUAGGCUGCUUCGCAAGUCGGAUGUGAAAGCCCUGGGCUCAACCCAGGAAGUGCAUUCGAAACUGCAGAGCUGGAGUCCUGGAGAGGAAGGCGGAAUUCUCGGUGUAGAGGUGAAAUUCGUAGAUAUCGAGAGGAACACCGGUGGCGAAGGCGGCCUUCUGGACAGUGACUGACGCUGAGACGCGAAAGCGUGGGGAGCAAACAGG